CUGAAGUGGGAGAGCACCAUUUUAUGGACUGAGAGUUACUAAAUACAUAAAAAGAUAAGUAAUCAAUCAAUCAAUCAAUCUCAGGCACGACCACUGACUCCCUCCAGAAAGGGUCCGUCCUAAUAGUCAUCAGUGUCCCUUCUGCAUGGUUAUUUCUAGAGUAGGCAAGGCACUCGACUCCCUCCAUCCUCACAGACGCCUGGAGAGGCAGCCAUUUGUAUCCUGUACACAUCCGGUUUGAAGCUCAGAAGAGUGAAGUAACCACCCCAACGUCCACCAGUGAAUGUGAACACUGUGAAGGAAGGGGCUUUGUCGAUGUCUCCAUCCCCAGCACUGAAAAUAGUUCCUGGUACAUGAGACCUUCAAAUAUUUACAAAAUAAGAGAAGAGUAGCAUGAAUCUUCACGUGCCCAUUGCCCA